AGAUAUAUGCAGCCCCAGGUACUUCGGGUGCCUCCUUCUAAUUCAUCUUGUAUGGCUUCACCAUUGUGGUUGUCAAUAUGGCAUGCAGAAUUAUCCCUCUUUCCAGUUGUCAUCCAAGCAAUUGUCCCCUGCUCCUUCAUGCCCAUGCUAUCCCUG